GAGUGCGUCCCAUAGUGUCCUACACAGUCACUAAAGUUUAGAGUGUGUCCCAUACAGGCACUAAAGUUUAGAGUGCGUCCCAUAGUGUCCCAUACAGGCACUAAAGUUUAGAGUGCGUCCCAUACAGGCACUAAAGUUUAGAGUGUGUCCCACACAGGCACUAAAGUUUAGAGUGUGUCCCACACAGGCACUAAAGUUUAGAGUGCGUCCCACACAGGCACUAAAGUUUAGAGUGCGUCCCAUAGUGUCCCACACAGGCACUAAAGUUUAGAGUGUGUCCCACACAGGCACUAGAGUUAAGUAUCUGUAUGGCAGGACUUUCACCCAGGAAACUGGGGAUCAUGUCCCGUUCUUGUCCCACGUGUCACUAAAACGUAAAUGUUUAAAUCCCACCCACAAUCGUACUCAUUCCCUAACUAAGUGGUUUCACUCUGCACAUAAAAAAAUGACAACAAAUCAGUCCCAAACAGAGCGUCAAAUAUCUCCGCGGAUAGGAUUACAUUGGAAUGAGUUGAAAUACCCCCGCCGGUCUGUCUGAGACGCUAAAGGAGAUUUUUUUUGCGUCAGUAACUAACACUUAAGAAACCUGACCAAGCCUCAGGUUGUGACGCGGUGGGAGUGAGACUGUGUUGCAAAAACCGUUACCUAAACACACUC